AAACAUUCAGACAAGUAAACAUUUUGAUGUUAUGAUAAAGCAUCAUCUGUUGGAUCCAUUGGGGUUGACACCUGUACAGGUCCAGCCCAAUCCCUUUUGUGUUCCUGGUAGGAUCUGGUCCACCUCGGCUCAAAAUCAAGUUGGGUGUUUUUUAUUUAUUUUACAGAUUGUGUCAUAACUUCCUAAGAAUUAGAUGGAUCCAUGCAGUGGAUCCUAACAACAGGACGAUACUGGGCAACUUUUAUCACCCAUCAGGUUUCCCGCUCAUCAGCUACAGCAUAAUCAAUGCUUGAAUCUAGAUUGUGGUGGUUCACUAAACUGCUGCACCACUUUGGAGGCCUUGCCCAUCAUUGUGGCUUGCGAUAGAAAAAAUAUGUGCCCUAGGAUUUACCAUUGCAUUAGGUUCGUUAAAUAAUAAACCAUUGUGUCAUUUUCAUCUAAUUAAUUCUCUGUUCACUGUGUUAAACUAAAACUGAGGUGUAACAAUCCUGUUAUUAAGUAACAUGUCUUACUAUUCAAAAGCUGGUUUCAGCUCAGAGAUAUCUGAAUAAACAAUGUUAUUAUUUAACCCUUUGGAGACAAUCAGUAAUUCUGAUAAUGUAUUUCUUAAGUUAGAUACUGUGUUCUUGAAUCUCCAAAAGCAGACACUUGUACUGACAGAGUACCCAAAGUAUGUGAAUUUCCUUUUAAGAUGUAUCAGAAAUGCGGGGCUGGCAAGUUGAUUUGUAGUGCUUUUUUCCAAUUUGCAUAUCAUUUACUGCAUCUCCUUUUGUUGACACCCCAGGGCACAAACCAAGAUUUUGAUCUUAAUAGGAAGAGUAGGGUGGUAUGACUGAAGAUCCCUUCCAACUCAGCGGGGAAAACAUUAGAGCUCUGCCUAGAUAGCAGGACCAGCCACAGUGAUAGAUACUUAAAGGGGAUAAUAUUGGCUGAACACAUUUCAAGGACCAAUGAAAUCUACUUUGUUCCUCCAACGUCAAAGCAUCAGGCCAACGGCCAAGGGAGAACCACCUGGCCCAGGACUGUGAAUCAGGGACCUUGAACGCAGCCCAGCUGCCACACCUUCCCUCAAUCAGGCCUCAUCAAGUGGAGGACAAAAGGGCCCCAGAAAAGCAGCUCUAAGCCACAGCAGAGGAAGAAGCCCCGCCCCACGGUUUUGUUAUUCAUCCCUGCCAUUUUUUGUAAUUAAAAGGACCUCCUGGACCCUGGGAGACUCUCCUUGUGUCUCCCCACCUUUACAGCAUCAAAUGAUUGCCUUUGAACCUGACCUCAACCAAAAAGAAAUGUACAUUUUGAUGGUCAGACUUGUAUUGCACUGUAUAUUGUAUUUAUCAGUUUUAUUAUUUAUUUUUCUGUAAGAUUUUAUGAGUUAAAAGUAAUUAUUUUCAGCAGCAACAUGAUUUGUUCGAACAAUGCUUUUGCUUUUCCACUAACAUACUACUCAAGCUACAUUGUUUAGCUUAUGUCAUCUUUGUUGGAAAUGCUUCAAUUGCAAUAGUUUUUAUAUCCAUGUAAAACUUUCUAUGCAGUAAAAUGUAGAAUAGCAGUUUAUUGUAACAUUGUAAUUCACUCCUUGUGGAAUCAGAGUUGUAGCCAGUAAUAUGCAGGUUGGCAUUUUUCUUGGCAGACUCACUGAAUACUGCUUUUACCAUUUCCCUGUUUUCACUAUUAUUCUUUGUGUCAACAUUUUGUACCAUUCUAAUGAAGCAAGUAAAAUACAUAAAGCAUAGUCACAACAAAAA
ensembl:lncRNA